AAAGUCGUAACAAGGUUUCCGUAGGUGAACCUGCGGAAGGAUCAUUCACUAAAGUGUUUAUGGCACUUUCAAAUCCAUUACCCACCUUGUGUGCAUUGUCGGGGGAGGUCUCAAUCUCAAUGAGUGAGGGAUCCUCCUUUUUACACAUACUAUGUUCUUCAGUAUCAGUCUACUUUUAUAGAGUGUAAAAAACUCGAAUACAACUUUCAACAACGGAUCUCUUGGCUCUC
rnacentral:misc_RNA from 1 species